rnacentral:lncRNA from 1 species
UAUGCAUAAUAUUUUACAGAUUUUAAGUAGCUUUUCAUGAACUUCAUAUUUUCCAGAACAAGUAAAUGCUACAUAAGUUAUGUAGAAAAUUGAAAAUGUUGCAUGAGUUAUACCAAAGUUAAAAUUUGAGUUCUUACCAGCGUUGCUUUCAGUAGAUUUUCAAUUGAGAAGCCCGGUGUACUGGAAUGUAAGGCUAUUAUAGGAGUCAUUUGAUAAAAGCUUUUGAGAAAGAAGCAGUGUAGCAAUCCAACUAGGGCUCGGUAGUGUUAUUAUCAAUGAUUUAUUUGAAGAUGCAAACUAUGAAGUAAAAAAAUAAAGGCAACCAUCUCUAGCGUUGAAGAUGCAAACUAUGAAGUAAAAAAAAAAAAAGGCAACCAUCUCUAGCAGCAUUCUUGCACAGUAAGUAGUUCAUGUGACUAAGCAACUAUUCUAUCAUAACAAAGACUGUUUAAUACCUAAAUUGACAUCUUACUUGUCCCGGUCUGCAAAGACGGCCGGCGACUCCCUGUUUCCCAUUUAAAGACCUCCUUGUAAAAAACACAUAUUUUAAACACCUUCAACCAUUG